rnacentral:rRNA from 1 species
GUCUACAACCAUGCCACCCUGAACAAGCCUGAUGUCUGAUCUCGGAAGCUAAGCAGGGUAGGGCCUGGUUAGUACUUGGAUGGGAGACCACCUAGGAAGACCAGGUGCUGUAAGCA